GACGAACCGAGCGAACGUUAUUCGGAAUCACUGGGCUUAAAGGGCGCGUAGGCGGGCCGUCAAGUCCGGGGUGAAAGCCUCCAGCUCAACUGGAGAAGUGCCUCGGAUACUGGCGGCCUCGAGGGAGAUAGGGGCGUGCGGAACUUCCGGUGGAGCGGUGAAAUGCGUAGAUAUCGGAAGGAACACCGGUGGCGAAAGCGGCGCGCUGGAUCUCUUCUGACGCUGAGGCGCGAAAGCCAGGGGAGCGAACAGG
rnacentral:rRNA from 1 species